rnacentral:rRNA from 1 species
UGAGUAGGAGGUACUAAGGUACUGAAGUAGUGGAUGUCAUACUUCCAAGAAAAGCUCGCAAUGUCAUAACUAAAAAAUGCCUGUACCAUAACCGACACAGGUGGGUAGGUAGAGUAUACUAAGGGGCGCGAGAUAACUCUCUCUAAGGAACUCGGCAAAAUAACUCCGUAACUUCGGGAGAAGGAGUACCUUUUUAUUAAGGUUGCAAUAACAAGAUCCAAGCAACUGUUUAUCAAAAACACAGGUCUCCGCUAAGUCGUAAGACGAAGUAUGGGGGCUGACGCCUGCCCAGUGCCAGAAGGUUAAAGAAGUUGGUUAGCGUAUGCGAAGCUGGUAACUGAAGCCCUGGUGAACGGCGGCCGUAACAAUAACGGUCCUAAGGUAGCGAAAUUCCUUGUCGGGUAAGUUCCGACCCGCACGAAAGGCGUAAUGAUUUGGAUACUGUCUCGGAGAGGGACUCGGUGAAAUAGACUUGUCUGUGAAGAUGCGGACUACCUGCACCUGGACAGAAAGACCCUAUGAAGCUUUACUGUAGCUUGAAAUUGAAAUUGGACUUUAUUUGCGCAGCAUAGGUGGGAAGCUAUGAAGAUUGUCUUGCGGGACUUUUGGAGCUAUCAGUGAGAUACCACUCUUGUAAUGUUAGAUUUCUAACUUUGUAUCAUAAUCUGGUCAAAGAACAGUUUCAGGUGGGCAGUUUGACUGGGGCGGUCGCCUCCCAAAUGGUAACGGAGGCGUACAAAGGUUUCCUCAGGUCGGUCAGAAAUCGAUCGUAGAGUGUAAAGGCAUAAGGAAGCUUGACUGUGAGACCUACAAGUCGAACAGGGACGAAAGUCGGUCUUAGUGAUCUGACGGUACUGAGUGGAAAGGCCGUCACUCAACGGAUAAAAGUUACUCUAAGGAUAACAGGCUGAUCUCCCCCAAGAGUUCACAUCGACGGGGAGGUUUGGCACCUCGAUGUCGGCUCAUCGCAUCCUGGGGCGGUAGUACGUCCCAAGGGUUGGGCUGUUCGCCCAUGAAAGCGGUACGCGAGCUGGGUUCAGAACGUCGUGAGACAGUUCGGUCCAUAUCCGGUGUAGGCGUUAGAGUAUUGAGAGGAGCCUUCUUUAGUACGAGAGGACCAAGAAGGACAUACCUAUGGUGUACCAGUUAUCGUGCCAACGGUAAACGCUGGUAGCUAAGUAUGGAGUGGAUAACCGCUGAAAGCAUCUAAGUGGGAAGCCCACCUCAAGAUGAG